rnacentral:rRNA from 1 species
CGUGGGUAACCUGCCUUAUAGUGGGGGAUAGCCUUUCGAAAGGAAGAUUAAUACCGCAUAAGAUUGUAGUAUCGCAUGAUAUAGCAAUUAAAGGAGCAAUUCGCUAUAAGAUGGACCCGCGUCGCAUUAGCUAGUUGGUGAGGUGAUGGCUCACCAAGGCGACGAUGCGUAGCCGACCUGAGAGGGUGAUCGGCCACAUUGGGACUGAGACACGGCCCAGACUCCUACGGGAGGCAGCAUG